rfam:Brassica napus, WGS project CCCW01000000 data, contig: 16383
UUAUGAAAGUGAUGAAAGUUGUAGAUAGGUGAUGAUCUUAUGAUCGAUAAAAAUUUCAACUCGCUACGUUCUUUCUGAUUCUUAC